UAAAGUAGUAAUAGUUAAGAUCUUGAAACUUAAAAAAUUUGGCGGUAUUUUAGUCUAUUCAGAGGAAUUUGUUUUAUAAUCGAUAAUCCACGAUGGACCUUACUUAAUUUUGUUAUCAGUUUAUAUACCGUCGUUAUUAGAAUAUUUUAUAAGAAUUUUAAUUUUCUAAAUUUUUAAAAGUUAAAAUAUAUCAGAUCAAGGUGUAGCUUAUAUUUAAGUAAAAAUGAGUUACAAUAAAAUUAUUUAAAUGAAUAUAAAUUUGAAAUAUUUAUUGAAGGUGGAUUUGAUAGUAAAUUUAUAUAGAUUAAUAAU
rnacentral:rRNA from 1 species